GAGAACUUAAGGCCAUUGUGUUGGCAUAAAGAGAAGUGGAAAGAUUCUAGAGAUGUUUCUAAGGUGGAAAUCAAAGGAUCAGGUGGAGGAGGAAGAAGAAGGAGAUUCUGAAAUGGUGUCAUAGAAACCAAGGAAGGAAAUAAUUUUUUUUAAAAAAAGUCAUACUCAACAAAACCUCCCCAAAAAGGAGACCAAGAGAUCAAACAAGAUUGAAGUCAUCUGUCUGGAAUUCCAAAAGCCGACAACAGCCAUUUCAGAUCUUCGCGUUUUUUCCCUCAGAUGUGACAGACAGAGAUCAUCAUGUAAAAUCAGGGCAGAAAAAAGUGCAGAAUGGAAAUUUUUAUUCACAUUUUGGAAGAAAGUAUGUCACAAAUAGAGUCAAGUGGCAAAAAAAAGAAAAGAAAUAAAAAAUUUCCCAAUGUCACACUGUCAAUAGGUCUUCCGUAUUGGGGUUGAAAUUUCUCUUUAAUUUGUCUGGAAGAAUAUAAGGCUGCAGAGAGAAACAGAUGAACCAGGAUGAGAAGCCAUCGGUCCACAGAGGGACUGCAUGCUGCCUCCGUUUAGUCUGAGACAGCCACCAGGAGACAGGGCCAUACGGCGUGGGGAGCUGCUCUGCUCACCCAGCUCCCGAUUUUAGAUUCCAUUGCCAGGCUGGGAGCAUUAGUUCUCAGAGCAGCACAGCCCCAGUGAUGGGGAAACCGGUUAUCCAGAAUCCUCAAGGUCUGCCCAGCCCAGAGCCCAAAGUAGAGAAAGGAAGAGACUUGGGGAAGAUGAAGAUGAAGACGUGAGUAAGACAAAGUCCAUGCCAGAUCAAGGGACUCUGAGCCCCCACAGAGGAGACAGUAAAAGGGCUGAGGAUCAUGCCCUGGGUCUCUCCACUGUGAGGGGGACGGUACUGAGCUUGCAUGUAUCAUCUCAUUAAACUCUCUCAACUGUUCGAGCAGUCAAGAGAUGAGAGUUGAAGGAAUUUACUCAAAAUCACAAACCAGGAAUCAGUGAGCACCAUUUGAAUGCAAAUCUGAUUGGCCGCAAAGCCCCAG
rnacentral:lncRNA from 1 species